rnacentral:miRNA from 14 species
CAGGUAUUGGUAAAAGCACAUU